UACGGGGGGGGCAAGCGUUGUUCGGAAUUACUGGGCGUAAAGGGCUCGUAGGCGGCCAACUAAGUCAUACGUGAAAUCCCUCGGCUUAACCGGGGAACUGCGUCUGAUACUGGAUGGCUUGAGAUUGGGAGAGGGAUGCGGAAUUCCAGGUGUAGCGGUGAAAUGCGCAGAUAUCGGGAGGAACACCAGUGGCGAAGGCGGCACUCUGGGCCAGUACUGACGCUGAGGAGCGAAAGCGUGGGGAGCGAACAGG
rnacentral:rRNA from 1 species